rnacentral:rRNA from 1 species
GACGAACGCUGGCGGCGUGCCUAAUACAUGCAAGUUGAGCGCUGAAGGUUGGUACUUGUACCAACUGGAUGAGCAGCGAACGGGUGAGUAACGCGUGGGGAAUCUGCCUUUGAGCGGGGGACAACAUUUGGAAACGAAUGCUAAUACCGCAUAAAAACUUUAAACACAAGUUUUAAGUUUGAAAGAUGCAAUUGCAUCACUCAAAGAUGAUCCCGCGUUGUAUUAGCUAGUUGGUGAGGUAAAGGCUCACCAAGGCGAUGAUACAUAGCCGACCUGAGAGGGUGAUCGGCCACAUUGCGACUGAGACACGGCCCAAACUCCUACGGGAGGCAGCAGUAGGGAAUCUUCGGCAAUGGACGAAAGUCUGACCGAGCAACGCCGCGUGAGUGAAGAAGGUUUUCGGAUCGUAAAACUCUGUUGGUAGAGAAGAACGUUGGUGAGAGUGGAAAGCUCAUCAAGUGACGGUAACUACCCAGAAAGGGACGGCUAACUACGUG